CAGUAGCCGCGGUAAUACGUAGGGGGCAAGCGUUAUCCGGAAUUACUGGGUGUAAAGGGAGCGUAGACGGUUAAACAAGUCUGAAGUGAAAUGCCGGGGCUCAACCCCGGAGCUGCUUUGGGAACUGUAGAACUGGAGUGUCGGAGGGGUAUGCGGAAUUCCCAGUGUAGCGGUGAAAUGCGUAGAUAUUGGGAGGAACACCGGCGGCGAAGGCGGCUUACUGGACGACAACUGACGCUGAGGCGCGAAAGCCAGGGGAGCGAACGGGAUUAGAUACCCGGGUAGUCCCUGUCUCUUAUAC
rnacentral:rRNA from 1 species